GGUGAACGCUGGCGGUAGGCCUAACACAUGCAAGUCGAACGGCAGCACAGUAAGAGCUUGCUCUUACGGGUGGCGAGUGGCGGACGGGUGAGGAAUACAUCGGAAUCUACUUUUUCGUGGGGGAUAACGUAGGGAAACUUACGCUAAUACCGCAUACGACCUACGGGUGAAAGCAGGGGACCUUCGGACCUUGCGCGAUUGAAUGAGCCGAUGUCGGAUUAGCUAGUUGGCGGGGUAAAGGCCCACCAAGGCGACGAUCCGUAGCUGGUCUGAGAGGAUGAUCAGCCACACUGGAACUGAGACACGGUCCAGACUCCUACGGGAGGCAGCAGUGGGGAAUAUUGGACAAUGGGCGCAAGCCUGAUCCAGCCAUACCGCGUGGGUGAAGAAGGCCUUCGGGUUGUAAAGCCCUUUUGUUGGGAAAGAAAAGCAGCAGGUUAAUACCCCGCUGUUCUGACGGUACCCAAAGAAUAAGCACCGGCUAACUUCGUG
rnacentral:rRNA from 1 species